UUGGAGCCUCAAUGACCAUCUUUGUCGUAUUUGGUUUCAACCCAAAACACAUGCUCACCUGUUCCUCAAGCUUCCAGACAGAUUUCAUAAACAUAUGGCAUAAACUACCUAAUAAGCUCUAAGAUUCUGUUAAAAAUUCCAGAAAACUGUCCUAAAUCAACUAGAUUGGCAUGGGAUUGUUAAUCCUCUCUCUAAUUUGAUUGGUUAAGAAUUUGUCAUCAAAAUUUCAG
rnacentral:misc_RNA from 1 species